AAUAUACUCCCUCCGUUCGGAAAUACUUGUCUUAGAAAUGGUUGUAUCUAAAACUAAAACAAGUCUAGAUACAACCAUUUCUAGGACGAGUAUUUCCGAACGGAGGGAGUACCAG
rnacentral:pre_miRNA from 1 species